CAGCAGCCACGGGAAUACGAGGGGGGCAAGCGUUGUUCGGAAUUAUUGGGCGUAAAGGGCGCGUAGGCGGUUUGGCAAGUUUGGUGUGAAAUCUUCGGGCUCAACUCGAAGUCUGCAUCGAAAACUGCCGGGCUUGAGUAUGGGAGAGGUGAGUGGAAUUUCCGGUGUAGCGGUGAAAUGCGUAGAUAUCGGAAGGAACACCUGUGGCGAAAGCGGCUCACUGGACCAUAACUGACGCUGAGGCGCGAAAGCUAGGGGAGCAAACAGGAUUAGAGACCCCAGUAGUCCCUGUCUCUUAUAC
rnacentral:rRNA from 1 species